GACGAACGCUGGCGGCGUGCUUAACACAUGCAAGUCGAACGGUGACGGAGAGCUUGCUCUCCUGAUCAGUGGCGAACGGGCGAGUAACACGUGGGCAACCUGCCCCAGACUUCGGGAUAACGCUUCGAAAGAGGUGCUAAUACCGGAUACGAACUCCUUGGGCAUCCUUGGAGUUGGAAAGUUUUUCGGUCUGGGAUGGGCCCGCGGCCUAUCAGCUUGUUGGUGAGGUAACGGCUCACCAAGGCGACGACGGGUAGCAGGCCUGAGAGGGCGACCGGCCAAACUGGGACUGAGACACGGCCCAGACUCCUACGGGAGGCAGCAGUGGGGAAUAUUGCGCAACGGGCGAAAGCCUGACGCAGCAACGCCGCGUGAGGGAUGACGGCCUUCGGGUUGUAAACCUCUUUCAGCAGGGAAGAAGCGAAAGUGACGGUACCUGCAGAAGAAGCACCGGCUAACUACGUGCCAGCCGCCGCCGUAACAC
rnacentral:rRNA from 1 species